rnacentral:rRNA from 1 species
GAUGAACGCUAGCUACAGGCUUAACACAUGCAAGUCGAGGGGUAACGAGAGGAAAGCUUGCCUUCCUUGUCGACGACCGGCGCACGGGUGAGUAACGCGUAUCCAACCUGCCCCCAACUAGGGAAUAACCUUGCGAAAGUAAGACUAAUACCCUAUAAUUUCCUCAGAUGUCAUCUGACGAGGAAUAAAGAUUUAUCGGUUGUGGAUGGGGAUGCGUCUGAUUAGCUUGUUGGCGGGGUAACGGCCCACCAAGGCAACGAUCAGUAGGGGUUCUGAGAGGAAGGUACCCAACAGUGAGACUGAGACACGGUCCAAAGUCCUACGGGAGGAAGCAGUGAGGAAUAUUGGUGAAAGGGCGGAAGCCUGAACCAGCCAAGUAGCGUGCAGGAUGACGGCCCUAUGGGUUGUAAACUGCUUUUAUACAGGAAUAAAGUUAGCCACGUGUGGUUAUUUGUAGGUACUGUAUGAAUAAGGACCGGCUAAUUCCGUGCCAGCCGCCGCGGUAA